rnacentral:lncRNA from 1 species
GGACGGUCCAGCUUUAGCUCUCUGCUCGCCGCCGCCGCUGUCGCCGCCACCUCCUCUGAUCUACGAAAGUCAUGUUACCCAACACCGGACCUUCCAUCUGGAAACACUUUUCUUCUGACUGAAGUGUAACCUUUAGUAAAUAAGGUGUAAGACAGGAAGAAAAAGUAUUUGGAUUAUAAUGAAAUAAAUAAUGCUGUCGUUAUUUGCCGAUGAUAUUAUCCUGCACAGAAAACCAAAAUAAUGUAUAACUGAAUUAUUAUAAUUAAUAAAAGUUUAAGAAAAUUGCUAUAUAUAAAAGUCAACAAAUAAAAAUAAUUUUGAGCUUGGCAUGGUGGCUCAUGCCUGUAAUCCCAGCAUUUUGAGAGGCCAAGGUGGGAGAAUCGCUUGAGCCCAGGAGUUCAAGACCACCCUGGGCAGCACAGUAAGACUCUGUCUCUACCAAAAAAAAAUAAAAAUUAACCAAGCGUGGUGAUGCACACCCGUGAUCCUAGCUAUUCAGGAGGCUUAGUGGGAGGAUUAGUUGAGCUGGGAAGGUCAAGUCUCCAGUAAUCUGUGAUUGUGCCAUUGCACACCAGCCUGGGCGACAAAGGGAGACUCUCUCAAAAAAUAAUAGUAAGUUAGAUUUCUACACGAGCAAAAAUCUGCAAGAAGUAUAUAGUACAUGUCAAUAAAAAUGAGAAGUUCAAAAUCCCAGAUAUGGACUCCACUACAGGACAUAUGAUGUAUAUUCUUCAGCAAAUAAAUGGCAUAAAGAGUGGAAGGGAAGCUGGCAGUGAUUAAAAGAGAAACUCUUAAGGUAUAACAGCCAGAUGUAAUGUGAGGUCCUUAUUGGAUCCUGAUUUGAUCAGGCCAACCAUAAGAAAAACUGAGAUAGUUAUAAAAGUUUGAACAUAGACAGAUAUUGAGUGAUAUUGAGAAAUUAUUGUUAAUUUUCUUGGGUAUAAUAAUGACAUUGGUAUUUUAAAAGUUUUUAUCUGUUAGAAAAGUAAAUACUGAAGUAUUCAUAGGUGAAAGUAUAUAACCUCUGGGAUUUGGUUUCUUUUCUUUUUUUUUUUUUUGAAACAGGGUCUCACUCUGUGGUUCAGGCUGGAGUGCAGUGGUGUGAAAUCAGCUCACUGCAACCUCCGUGUCAUGGGCUCAGGUGAUCCUCCAACCUCAGCUUCCUGAGUAGCUGGGACUAUGGGUGCGUACCACAUGCCUGGCUAAUUUUUGUAUUUUUUAGUAGAGAUGGGGUUUCUCUAUGUUGCCCAGGCUGGUCUCAAACUCCAGGGCUAAAGCGUUCUGCCCACCUCUGCCUCCCAAAGUGCUGAGAUUAUAGGCAUGAGCCACCAUGCCUACCUAGGAUUUGUUUUCUGAUGAUUGCUUUCACAAUUUAGUAGUUGAAUAAACAUGGAAGCUUAUUAUACUCUUUUCUGGUUUUUUAAAUGUAUUUGAAAAUUCCAUAAUAAAAAGAGUCUUCGUUUUU